rnacentral:rRNA from 1 species
AUUGAACGCUGGCGGCAGGCCUAACACAUGCAAGUCGAACGAGGGGCGGACGGGUGAGUAAUGUGUGGGAAACUGCCUGGGGGAGGGGGAUAACUACGGGAAACGGUAGAUAAUACCGCAUACCAUGAGAUGUGCCGAGGUGGGAUUAGCUUGUUGGUGGGGUAACGGCACACCAGGGCGACGAUCCCUAGCUGGUCUGAGAGGGUGACCAGCCACACUGGAACUGAGACACGGUCCAGACUCCUACGGGAUGCAGCAGUGGGGAAUAUUGCACAAUGGGCGCAAGCCUGAUGCAGCCAUGCCGCGUGUAUGAAGAAGGCCUUCGGGUUGUAAAGUACUUUCAGCGGGGAGGCGUUACCCGCAGAAGAAGCACCGGCUAACUCCGUGCCAGCCGCCGCGGUAAUAC